GGGGAUGCAAAGGUUUCGACAGGGUUACAAGGUUAUAGGUAGCAGGCCAGGAUGGUCGCUGUGAGAGGCCAACUCAUCGUUUAGAUGGAAAUAACGAAUACGCUUUAGCUGCAUAAUGUCAGCUCACCCUUGAUCAUGCUCUUCUGUAGGCGCGUUCAGUCUGGGUGUCACUUAUAUACAGAUUACCCUAAACGAUUUCUCUAAGUUCUAGGGGACAUUUUAGAGGAUAGCGUUAAUUAGCCCUGUUUGCGGGAGUAAUUAGUGCGAAACAAAAUAGCAAACUAAGCUUGUAGAAGCCUAUGAUGCUUGUGAUUUUGGACACGGGUUCGAUUCCCGUCAUCUCCACCA
rnacentral:tmRNA from 1 species